rnacentral:rRNA from 1 species
GACAGAGGUGCCAAGCGUUAGGCGGCAUCACUGGGCUUCAAGCGUGUGUAGGCGGGCGAUCAAGUACCUUGUGAAAUCCCACGGCUCAACCGUGGAACUGCUGGGUAUACUGGUUGUCUUGAGCCAGCUAGGGGCGAGCGGAACAGACGGUGGAGCGGUGAAAUGCGUAAAUAUCUGGAAGAACACCAAUAACGGCGAAGGCAGUUAACUAUUCUGUUACUGACAUUGAGGCACGAAAGCGUGGGGAGCAAAACGG